UACGUAGGUGGCAAGCGUUAUCCGGAAUUAUUGGGCGUAAAGCGCGCGCAGGUGGUUUCUUAAGUCUGAUGUGAAAGCCCACGGCUCAACCGUGGAGGGUCAUUGGAAACUGGGGGACUUGAGUGCAGAAGAGGAAAGUGGAAUUCCAUGUGUAGCGGUGAAAUGCGUAGAGAUAUGGAGGAACACCAGUGGCGAAGGCGACUUUCUGGUCUGUAACUGACACUGAGGCGCGAAAGCGUGGGGAGCAAACAGG
rnacentral:rRNA from 1 species